rnacentral:rRNA from 1 species
GACGAACGCUGGCGGCGUGCUUAACACAUGCAAGUCGAACGGUAAGGCCCUUCGGGGUACACGAGUGGCGAACGGGUGAGUAACACGUGGGUGAUCUGCCCUGCACUUCGGGAUAAGCCUGGGAAACUGGGUCUAAUACCGGAUAGUACUCCUGGCUUCAUGGUUGGGGGAGGAAAGCUUUUGCGGUGUGGGAUGGGCCCGCGGCCUAUCAGCUUGUUGGUGGGGUAAGGGCCUACCAAGGCGCCGACGGGUAGCCGGCCUGAGAGGGUGACCGGUCAAACUGGGACUGAGAUACGGCCCAGACUCCUACGGGAGGCAGCAGUGGGGAAUAUUGCGCAAGGGGAGCAAGCCUGAUGCAGCGACGCCGCGUGAGGGAUGACGGCCUUCGGGUUGUAAACCUCUUUCAGCUAUGACGAAGCGCAAGUGACGGUAGUAGCAGAAGAAGGACCGGCCAACUACGUGCCAGCCGCCGCCGUAA